AGGAAACCUCGUGAGUCUUCUGCUCUGGAACACGGGCAGCUCCUUGAGUCGGAGAUCUGCUGAGGGACCAGGCCUGACUUUAAAAGAAAAGUCACCUGUCACAGGGAUGAGGCCAUAGGUCGUCAAUUCCAGGAACAAGACCAUAAAAUCCUCUACCCAAGGAACAGUCUGGAGAUAAACACAAUAAUGGGAAAAUAUCUUGUCUCAGAAUGGAGCAUCUGUCCUGGCCAGCCGUAUCUCAUCCUGUAAUCAAACAUUCAUGGCACAGGAAUGCAGCCUACCAACCACCUGGAUGCAAGCCAACAGGAAUUGACCCUUGUAACUUCCCCUGCACCCGCCAAUGAGGUUUUAGAUUACCUAACCCCUGCUAGAAUUCCCUUGGUUUUCUAUAAAAACGCUUGCAUGCCUUUGUCUAGAGUUGCCAUUUUGUAAAAUGGUUUGACCCUUGCAUUCAGGUUUUUGAGAAAUAAAACGUUCUUGCCAAUUGCAUAUGUGA